UUCCUAACAAUGAAAACCUCGUAAUAAGGUAGUUUUAUUGCAUCAAAUAGAUUCAGUGUGAGAUAAAAGUACAUUAACAUCAUACACUUAUUUUUAGUACAUGUAAAUUAAAUAUAUGACUCCCUUUUUAUAGAAGGAAAAAAAAAAUUACAUUAGAGAUUACAAGUUACAUCAAUGUAUAUAAUAAUAAUCUGGUGAAUAAUUCAUAUUGAUUUCCCACUAAAAAAAUGCACAUUAAUUUCAUAUUAUGUGAACAACAUAAGAAUGUAAUAAUUAGCUUUGAUGGCAAGUAAGUUUGAUUUGAUGGUAGCAAGCAACCAAGAAGAAGUGCAGAGAUGAAACAAACAAACAAACAUGUUCUUGUGACCCAUUUCUCAGUAAGCAGCAGCUCAGCUUUGGUUGCUAUGCACUCUCCAAAGUUGAAAUUCCGUCAACUUUGUUGUGGAACCGAG
rnacentral:lncRNA from 1 species